GGAACUGACAAAUAUAGGGGAGGAAAUAAACAGGUGAUGAGGAACUGACAAAUAUAGAGGAGGAAAUAAACAGGUGAUGAGGAACUGACAAAUAUAGAGGAGGAAAUAAACAGGUGAUGAGGAACUGACAAAUAUAGAGGAGGAAAUAAACAGGUGAUGAGGAACUGACAAAUAUAGGGGAGGAAAUAAACAGGUGAUGAGGAACUGACAAAUAUAGGGGAGGAAAUAAACAGGUGAUGAGGAACUGACAAAUAUAGAGGAGGUAAUAAACAGGUGAUGAGGAACUGACAAAUAUAGUGGAGGAAAUAAACAGGUGAUGAGGAACUGACAAAUAUAGGGGAGGAAAUAAACAGGUGAUGAGGAACUGACAAAUAUAGAGGAGGAAAUAAACAGGUGAUGAGGAACUGACAAAUAUAGUGGAGGAAAUAAACAGGUGAUGAGGAACUGACAAAUAUAGUGGAGGAAAUAAACAGGUGAUGAGGAACUGACAAAUAUAGAGGAGGAAAUAAACAGGUGAUGAGGAACUGACAAAUAUAGGGGAGGAAAUAAACAGGUGAUGAGGAACUGACAAAUAUAGGGGAGGAAAUAAACAGGUGAUGAGGAACUGACAAAUAUAGUGGAGGAAAUAAACAGGUGAUGAGGAACUGACAAAUAUAGAGGAGGAAAUAAACAGGUGAUGAGGAACUGACAAAUAUAGGGGAGGAAAUAAACAGGUGAUGAGGAACUGACAAAUAUAGUGGAGGUAAUAAACAGGUGAUGAGGAACUGACAAAUAUAGUGGAGGUAAUAAACAGGUGAUGAGGAACUGACAAAUAUAGUGGAGGUAAUAAACAGGUGAUGAGGAACUGACAAAUAUAGGGGAGGAAAUAAACAGGUGAUGAGGAACUGACAAAUAUAGUGGAGGUAAUAAACAGGUGAUGAGGAACUGACAAAUAUAGUGGAGGAAAUAAACAGGUGAUGAGGAACUGACAAAUAUAGUGGAGGAAAUAAACAGGUGAUGAGGAACUGACAAAUAUAGAGGAGGAAAUAAACAGGUGAUGAGGAACUGACAAAUAUAGGGGAGGAAAUAAACAGGUGAUGAGGAACUGACAAAUAUAGUGGAGGAAAUAAACAGGUGAUGAGGAACUGACAAAUAUAGUGGAGGAAAUAAACAGGUGAUGAGGAACUGACAAAUAUAGAGGAGGAAAUAAACAGGUGAUGAGGAACUGACAAAUAUAGUGGAGGUAAUAAACAGGUGAUGAGGAACUGACAAAUAUAGGGGAGGAAAUAAACAGGUGAUGAGGAACUGACAAAUAUAGGGGAGGAAAUAAACAGGUGAUGAGGAACUGACAAAUAUAGGGGAGGAAAUAAACAGGUGAUGAAUGAGUCCAGGUGAGUCCACUAACGCUGAUGCGCGUGAUGAGGGAAGGCAGGUGUGCGUGAUGGAUGGCAGGAGUGCGUGAUGCAGGGCAACCUGGCGCCCUCAAGCGCCAGGGGGAGGGAAGAGCGGGAGCAGACAUGACAAUGUGCUCCUGUGUCCUAGUGUUUUCUUGAUAGUUUAGUAAUAAAAUAACCAAAACUGGAAACUUUGUCUUCAACCAUCAUUCCUGCAUUCUUACAGAUGCACAAUAGUGGCAACAUCAGUCGUCAACCUCGCCUAAGAUACAGUUCACCCUCGUCUUUUUCUUUAUGGUCCUUCCAGCCGGAUCUGAUUGCUGUCUUCUUCCGGACACAAAACAAUCUGGUCUAUGGCGCACACAAGGAACAAAGAGUAUGAGGAAAGCUCCCACACCUCAUAGAACUGCAUGUGUAACCCAUCAGACUUCACAAUCCUGACGCACCUGGUUCAGCCGAAACCCCCUUCCAGAACCAGCAGUCC